CUGUGUAUCUUUUCCCUGACAGCAACUUCUGUCUUGGCUCUUCACAUCCAGCCAGAGCAGUUUCUUUGCCUCCGCAACCUGCAGGCUGUCCUCGCGUGUGUACCUGUGGUGGACUGAGGGUAUGAGGUGAAGAAGAACACUGAAACCAGCUGAAGCCGUAUCGGCCACAUGCUUCUGCUCGGAAGUAAUUCAGAGUGAUUCCAUGGUGUACUUUAGACAGAUUUCCUCUGGUCCUCUGGACUCAGCAUCCCCAAGGGAUAUUUCAAAGCUCUCUGAAGGACCUGUCAUUAUCGCUGACACUGCAGUCUCCAUUAGGAAGGGACACCACCCGGCUAGCCAAGCUCUGAAACUGAAAAUGGAAGGAGUGGG